AACCCUCCUCAGCCUUUUGGCUAAGAUCAAGUGUAGUCUGUUCUUAUCACUGUAGUAUAUCAUACAUCCUCUGAGGACAAUAUAGUAAAUGGAUUUUUGGAGCAUUGAGAGGGAAAAGGGGCUUGCUUCAUCCACUCUAUGCAUCGACCUGGUAUUGCAGUAACUCCAGGAAUGGUGCACCAUGG